rnacentral:rRNA from 1 species
CCCCUAGAUGUCCUGGGCCGCACGCGCAAUACAAUGUAAAGUUCAGAAAGCAUAUCCUUUUCCGGAAGGCAAUGGGUAAUCUUUUCAAUAUUUUACGUGUUAGGGAUCGAUCUUUGCAAUUAUAGAUCUUGAACGAGGAAUACCUAGUAAGUGCAGCUCAUCAGGCUGUACUGAUUACGUCCCUGCCCUUUGUACACACCGCCCGUCGCUCCUACCGAUUUCGAGUGGUCCGGUGAAUCUUUUGGAAUUAGAGUGCAAACUCAAACUAAGAUCGAUAAACCUUAUCACUUAGAGGAAGGAGAAGUCGUAACA